rnacentral:rRNA from 1 species
UGGGGAAUAUUGGACAAUGGGCGAAAGCCUGAUCCAGCCAUGCCGCGUGUGUGAAGAAGGUCUUCGGAUUGUAAAGCACUUUAAGUUGGGAGGAAGGGCAUUAACCUAAUACGUUAGUGUUUUGACGUUACCGACAGAAUAAGCACCGGAUAACUCUGUGCCAGCAGCCGCGGUAAUACAGAGGGUGCAAGGGUUAAUCGGAAUUACUGGGCGUAAAGCGCGCGUAGGUGGUUUGUUAAGUUGGAUGUGAAAUCCCCGGGCUCAACCUGGGAACUGCAUUCAAAACUGACUGACUAGAGUAUGGUAGAGGGUGGUGGAAUUUCCUGUGUAGCGGUGAAAUGCGUAGAUAUAGGAAGGAACACCAGUGGCGAAGGCGACCACCUGGACUAAUACUGACACUGAGGUGCGAAAGCGUGGGGAGCAAACA